rnacentral:Y_RNA from 1 species
CGCUAGUCCGAUGGUAGUGGGUUAUCAGAAUUUAUUAACAUUAGUGUCGCUAAAGUUAGUAUACAACCCCCCACUGCUAAAUUUGGCUAUCUUAA